AUCGAACGCUGGCGGCAGGCCUAACACAUGCAAGUCGAACGAGUGGCGGACGGGUGAGUAAUGUCUGGGAAACUGCCUGAUGGAGGGGGAUAACCACUGGAAAAGGUAGCUAAUACCGCAUACCAUCAGAUGUGCCCAGAUGGGAUUGGCGAGUAGGUGGGGUAACGGCUCACCUAGUGGUCGAUCCCUAGCUGGUCCGAGAGGAGGACCAGCCAACCUGGAACUGAGACACGGUCCGGACUCCUACGGGAGGCAGCAGGGGGGAAUAUUGCAAAAUGGGCGCAAGCCUGAUGCAGCCAUGCCGCGUGUAUGAAGAAGGCCUUCGGGUUGUAAAGUACUUUCAGCGGGGAGGCGUUACCCGCAGAAGAAGCACCGGCUAACUCCGUGCCAGCAGCCGCGGUAAUUC
rnacentral:rRNA from 1 species